UACGUAGGGGGCAAGCGUUGUCCGGAUUUAUUGGGCGUAAAGAGCGUGUAGGCGGCUUUACAGGUCCGUUGUGAAAACUCGAGGCUCAACCUCGAGACGCCGGUGGAAACCGUAAAGCUAGAGUCCGGAAGAGGAGAGUGGAAUUCCUGGUGUAGCGGUGAAAUGCGCAGAUAUCAGGAGGAACACCAAUGGCGAAGGCAGCUCGCUGGGACGUGACUGACGCUGAGACGCGAAAGCGUGGGGAGCAAACAGG
rnacentral:rRNA from 1 species